AGCUGGAUAGCUCAGCUGGUUGAGCAUGAGACAUGUAAUCCCAGGGUUGUGGGUUCGAGCGCUGCGUUGGUUG